UGUUUUUUGCUUAUUUCUGUUUAUUAAAUAAAAUUAUUUUUUUAAAUAUAUGUUAACAUAUUCAGCUACAUUUUGUCUAAAAAUUGUUUAAAGAUAUCAAUAAACCACGAUGGCACAACUCAAACACCAAGCAGAAACUGUCACGUGACUGCCUGGCCCCAGGGUAUGGUAUAUUCUUGUCGGGACUCGGUCGGGACCCUUGACGGAGAUGUUGAUUGAGGUGUCAUUUGUGAGAGAAGAUUAUUUUAAAGUUUCGUUAGACAUUGUUGCUGUCUAAUUUCAUUGAAACUUGUGAGUUUUCUGUGCUUGGUUUCGCUAGAAGACUUUGAAGACUCGGGAAGAACAGACACGGGAGACGAGAUUGAAGUGCAGCCAACACUGCAUGGUGCUUCUCACAAGAGCUGACCCAAUGCUGUUUUUCAACUCUUCUGGAAAAGAUCCCGAAAGAAGAUAACAGCUUGUUUUCUUCACCGCCACCAGUCUACCUGCUCUCUGCACACUCGGCAGAGCGCGGCAGGGCACCCCACGGAGCUGCACUAGUCACAUCCGGGCCCCACGCCGGUCGACGGCCGAUGCGAUGGAGGCACUACUCCGAGCUGGACUGGUGGCCGGCUCGGAGCUGGUGGAUGUCGACCGCGGAGCGGCGUUCUACUCCUUCCACCGGGCCCGGCAGCAGGAGCUCCAGAUGUCCUUGUGCCACCCGUCCGGCCAGGCCUCCAUCCACCUUGUAGAGGCGGAGCGGGAGACGGUGAAGCUCACGGCUCCGUUGGAACAUGGCCGCUGGGAGGCCUGCGGCGCGGACGACGGAUGCGGCAGUUGGUCAAGACACGGCAGCCUACUCGAGGUGCUUCUCGCCUGGAGGACGCAGGCGAAUCGCGUUAUCCGAGCUGUGCCUCGUCAUGGUGCGAUGAGCCUUAAUAGACUAAUGCAUAUUCUUCCUUUGGCUGUAAUUCAUUUGCUGCUGCCCGCUGGGCUAAGG